UAAUGUUUAUAAUUUUGAGGUGAAAUGUCUAAAUGACGAUGACAAUUAGCGACAGCAUCUCCCCCUGGAUUUGUCUAUUGUUAAACGUCAAUAAAAAAAAUAAAUAAAAUAGACAAACUAAUUUUUCUCUCAGCUAUUUCCUGCAAUUUUCCAGUAGGUCAAGCCUUUAAUAAUUAUUUUAAACAAGUGAUAAUAAUGCUCGAUAAUUAAAUUUAUAAAAAGCUUCAAUAGUUCAAUAACUUUGAAUUUCUUAAAUAAAUAAAUACACAAUUAUAAUCAAAAUAAAGUUACUCCAUUUUAUUUGACACCUGACAAGUAAACACAAAAAAAAUCAAGCCAAAAUGUCCAUAAAAAAGGAUCUUCGAUUAUUAAUAAAACCAUAUUAUUUAAUAAAUAUUUUUUUAAGUGUUUCAUAUAUUAUUGGUAAAAAAAUAUCAUGGGUUUGUUUAAAUAUAUUUGCAAAAAGAGACUGUGAGCUUGAUGGGAAAGAAACUGAAAUAUUAUUUUUCUUGAUGAUUGUCAUAAUGAUUAGAACAAGAAAAGCUGGAAGUAUAACAAUGAUAAAUUAUUUAUCAGCAAGUUUUCUUUAUACUAAAUUAACAAAUAUUAUCCUGUGGUUUUAUGCUGAUAUUAGAUUGGGAAUAUUAUUUGGAAUUCUUGUUAUACUCUGUGGAUUAUUGUUGCCUGAGCCAACUUAUCAAGGACCAGAAAAUAUAACUUAUAUACAUGGUGAAAGAGGUUUGAAGGAUGAACUUCAACGUGAUACUAAAGUUACCUGGCUCAUUGCAUUUUAUACUGCAUGGAGUCCACCAUGUGUUACUCUUGCUCCAGUAUUUUCACAAAUUUCAGCAGAAUAUGCAUUGGAUAAUUUUAAAUUUGGUAAAAUUGAUGUUGGAAGACAUCCAGAUGCAGCAGCUAAAUAUCAAAUAAAUGAUGCCAGUACCAGCAGACAAUUACCAACUUUGAUUCUCUUUCAAAAUGGAAAAGAAGUUGAACGUCGUCCAUAUGGUGAUAGCAAAGGAAAGCUAGUCAAAUUUUUAUUUUCAUUAGAUAAUAUUAAAGCAGCAUUUGAUUUAAAUACUGUUUACAAAACAUGUAAAGAAAAUCCAUUAACAAAGAAAGAUAAAAAAGCAAAAAAAACUGAAUAAAUUAGAAGAAACAAAUUUAUUUAUUUUAAACAGCUUUUCAUUUACUGGACAGCUAAUUAACUUAUUUUUGCUUUAAAAAUUUUUCAACUUAUUUUAUUAUGCAAUGUAUUUUUUUUAUAUAAUACAUCUUUUCAUUCAUCUCAUUUGUAAAAAUGAAAAAAAAUAUAUUUAUUAGUCAUUAUUAUCGAGUUAUGUUGGUCACAUAAUAGGUGAAAUAAUUAAUUACAUUGAUGGCUGGAUUUACCAGAUUCUUUGUGUGCAAAAAAACAAUAAUAAUAACCAUUCAACAAAAUUAUAAAUAAAAUAAAUAUUAAGUAAAUUAAUAAAAAUGUCAAA
rnacentral:misc_RNA from 1 species